rnacentral:misc_RNA from 1 species
UACAGAGGGUGUGAGCGGUAAUCGGAUUUACUGGGCGUAAAGCUUGCGUAGGCGGCUUUUUAAGUCGGAUGUGAAAUCCCCGAGCUUAACUUGGGAAUUGCAUUAGAUAGUGGGAAGCGAGAGUAUGGUAGAGGAUGGUAGAAUUCCAGGUGUAGCGGUGAAAUGCGUAGAGAUCUGGAGGAAUACCGAUGGCGAAGGCAGCCAUCUGGCCUAAUUCUGACGCUGAGGUACGAAAGCAUGGGGAGCAAACAGG